UACGUAGGUGGCAAGCGUUGUCCGGAUUUAUUGGGCUUAAAGGGUGCGUAGGCGGCUCUGUAAGUCAGUGCUGAAAUAUCCCGGCUUAACCGGGAGGGUGGCAUUGAUACUGCGGGGCUAGAGUACAGAUGAGGUAGGCGGAAUUGACGGUGUAGCGGUGAAAUGCUUAGAUAUCGUCAAGAACACCUAUAGCGAAGGCAGCUUGCUAGGCUGUAACUGACGCUGAGGCACGAAAGUGUGGGGAUCAAACAGG
rnacentral:rRNA from 1 species